AGUGAACGCUGGCGGUAGGCCUAACACAUGCAAGUCGAACGGCAGCACAGUAAGAGCUUGCUCUUACGGGUGGCGAGUGGCGGACGGGUGAGGAAUACAUCGGAAUCUACUUUUUCGUGGGGGAUAACGUAGGGAAACUUACGCUAAUACCGCAUACGACCUACGGGUGAAAGCAGGGGAUCUUCGGACCUUGCGCGAUUGAAUGAGCCGAUGUCGGAUUAGCUAGUUGGCGGGGUAAAGGCCCACCAAGGCGACGAUCCGUAGCUGGUCUGAGAGGAUGAUCAGCCACACUGGAACUGAGACACGGUCCAGACUCCUACGGGAGGCAGCAGUGGGGAAUAUUGGACAAUGGGCGCAAGCCUGAUCCAGCCAUACCGCGUGGGUGAAGAAGGCCUUCGGGUUGUAAAGCCCUCUUGUUGGGAAAGAAAAGCAGCAGGUUAAUACGCCGCUGUUCUGACGGUACCCAAAGAAUAAGCACCGGCUAACUUCGUG
rnacentral:rRNA from 1 species